rnacentral:rRNA from 1 species
AGGCGAUGAAGGACGUACUAAGCUGCGAUAAGCUAUGGGGAGCUGCUAAGAAGCUUUGAUCCCUAGAUUUCCGAAUGGGGCAACCCAGCUAGUAGAGAUACUAGUUAUGUAGGCAACAGAGAGUAGAGAUUGGCAGAUGGCGAAAUAUUUUGGAUGAGAAAUUAAUGUUGUGAAGCAAUUUGUGCGGAGACUAGACUUAGUGUCUGUCGCACAAACAAAUUGUGAACUCAUUAAUUUAUCGCCAAAAGAUAAGCCAAGCCUCUAUUGUCUGUUGCCUGCAGGCGAACCUAGCGAAGUGAAACAUCUCAGUAGCUAGAGGAAAAGAAAUCAAUAGAGAUUCUCCUAGUAGCGGCGAGCGAACGGGGAAAAGGGCAAACCAGUAGCUUGCUACUGGGGUUGAGGACUGCAAUAUCCACUUGAAUAAUGUAGCAGAAGUGUUUGGAAAAGCACAUCACAGAGGGUGAUAGUCCCGUAUGCGCAAUAUUAUUUAUAGGUAGCAGGAUCCAGAGUAGGCCAGGACACGUGAAAUCCGGGCUGAAGCGGGGGAGACCACUCUCCAACCCUAAAUACUACUAUCACACCGAUAGCGAACAAGUACCGUGAGGGAAAGGUGAAAAGAACCGCAGUGAGCGGAGUGAAAUAGAACCUGAAACCAUCUGCCUACAAUCAUUCGGAGCCCUAUGAUUUAUCAGGGUGACGGACUGCCUUUUGCAUAAUGAUCCUGCGAGUUGUGGUAUCUGGCAAGGUUAAGCAAACGCGAAGCCGUAGCGAAAGCGAGUCUGAAAGGGCGUUUAAGUCAGAUGCUGCAGACCCGAAGCGAAGUGAUCUAUCCAUGGCCAAGUUGAAGUAAGUGUAAUAGCUUAUGGAGGACUGAACUCGUACCCAUUGAAACGGGUUGGGAUGAGCUGUGGAUAGGGGUGAAAGGCCAAACAAACUUCGUGAUAGCUGGUUCUCUUCGAAAUAUAUUUAGGUAUAGCCUCAAGUGAUAGUAAUAGGGGGUAGAGCUCUGAUUGGGCUAGGGCUGCUCACCGCGGUACCAACCCCUGUCAAACUGCAAAUACCUAUUACCGUAUCUUGGGAGUCAGGCGGUGGGUGAUAAAAUCAAUCGUCAAAAGGGGAACAACCCAGACUACCAACUAAGGUCCCAAAGUUCUAUUCUAAGUGGAAAAUGAUGUGAAGUUACUUUGACAACCAGGAGGUUGGCUUAGAAGCAGCCAUCCUUUAAAGAAAGCGUAACAGCUCACUGGUCUAGUGAUUUUGCGCAAAAAAUAUAACGGGGCUAAGAUAGACACCGAAGUUGUAGAUUAUGCUGAUGCAUAGUGGUAGAAGAGCGUUCGUAUUGCGUUGAAGGUAUACCGGUAAGGAGUGCUGGAGCGAUGCGAAGUGAGCAUGCAGGAAUGAGUAGCGAUAAAAGUGGUGAGAAUCCACUUCGCCGAAAGUCUAAGGUUUCCUACGCGAUGCUCGUCAUCGUAGGGUUAGUCGGGUCCUAAGACAAGUCAGAAAUGGGUAGUCGAUGGAAAAUGGGUUAAUAUUCCCAUACCAACAUUAGUGUGCGAUGGGGGGACGCAUAGGGCUAAGUAGCGUUAGCUGAUGGAAGUGCUUAAUUUAAAAGCGUAGAUUGAGAGAUAGGUAAAUCCGCUCUUGUAUUCGAAACUUGAAUAGCUUGUUGCGAUCUUCGGAUCAAGAUGAGUGCUACUGACGCCGUCGUGCCAAGAAAAGCCUCUAAGUUUAGCUAAUGUUGCCCGUACCGCAAACCGACACAGGUAGAUGAGAUGAGUAUUCUAAGGCGCGUGAAAGAACUCUAGUUAAGGAACUCUGCAAACUAGCACCGUAAGUUCGCGAUAAGGUGUGCCACAGCAAUGUGGUCUCAGCAAAGAGUCCCUCCCGACUGUUUACCAAAAACACAGCACUUUGCAAACUCGUAAGAGGAAGUAUAAGGUGUGACGCCUGCCCGGUGCUCGAAGGUUAAGAGGAUUAGUCAGACGCAAGUCGAAGCUUUGAAUUGAAGCCCGAGUAAACGGCGGCCGUAACUAUAACGGUCCUAAGGUAGCGAAAUUCCUUGUCGGUUAAAUACCGACCUGCAUGAAUGGCGUAACGAGAUGGGAGCUGUCUCAACUAGGGAUUCAGUGAAAUUGUAGUGGAGGUGAAAAUUCCUCCUACCCGCGGCAAGACGGAAAGACCCCGUGGACCUUUACUACAGCUUGACACUGCCGAUGGGAGCAUUAUGCGCAGGAUAGGUGGGAGGCUUUGAAAUCUUUACUCUGGUAGAGAUGGAGCCAUCCUUGAGAUACCACCCUUAAUGUUUCUGUCUGCUAACUAGCUUGAGUUAUCCUCAAGUAGGACAAUGUCUGGUGGGUAGUUUGACUGGGGCGGUCGCCUCCUAAAAAGUAACGGAGGCUUGCAAAGGUUGGCUCAUUGCGGUUGGAAAUCGCAAGUAGAGUGUAAUGGCAUAAGCCAGCCUGACUGUAAGACAAACAAGUCGAGCAGAGACGAAAGUCGGUCAUAGUGAUCCGGUGAUUCUGUGUGGAAGGGUCAUCGCUCAAAGGAUAAAAGGUACCCCGGGGAUAACAGGCUGAUCUCCCCCAAGAGCUCACAUCGACGGGGAGGUUUGGCACCUCGAUGUCGGCUCAUCGCAUCCUGGGGCUGGAGCAGGUCCCAAGGGUAUGGCUGUUCGCCAUUUAAAGCGGUACGCGAGCUGGGUUCAGAACGUCGUGAGACAGUUCGGUCCCUAUCUGCCGUGGGCGUAGGAGAGUUGAGGAGAGCUGUCCCUAGUACGAGAGGACCGGGAUGGACAUGCCACUGGUGUACCAGUUGUUCUGCCAAGAGCAUCCCUGGGUAGCUACGCAUGGAUGUGAUAACCGCUGAARGCAUCUAAG